rnacentral:rRNA from 1 species
CCAAUGUGUAGCAAUACACAGGAAGAUCUAGUGGCGAACGGGUGAGGAACACGUGAGAAACGUACCCCGGACUCUGGGAUAACAAUUCGAAAGGAUUGCUAAUACCAGAUGACGUCGGAAGUCCGCAUGGACAUCUGACGAAAGGGAUUCCGGUUUGGGAGCGUCUCGCGGACCUAUCAGCUAGUUGGAGGGGUAACGGCCCACCAAGGCAACGACGGGUAGCUGGUCUGAGAGGAUGGUCAGCCACACUGGGACUGAGACACGGCCCAGACUCCUACGGGAGGCAGCAGUGGGGAAUCUUGCGCAAUGGGCGAAAGCCUGACGCAGCAACGCCGCGUGCGGGAAGAAGGCUUUCGGGCUGUAAACCGCUUUCAGUAGGAACGAAACUGACGGUACCUACAGAAGAAGGAGCGGCCAACUAUGUGCCAGCAGCCGCGGUGACACAUAGGCUCCAAGCGUUGUCCGGAUUUAUUGGGCGUAAAGAGCUCGUAGGCGGUUGAGUAAGUCGGGUGUGAAAACUUUGGGCUUAACCCAAAGAUGCCACUCGAUACUGUUCAACUUGAGUUUGGUAGGGGAGUGGGGAAUUCCUUGUGUAGCGGUGAAAUGCGCAGAUAUAAGGAGGAACACCGGUGGCGAAGGCGCCACUCUGGGCCAAUACUGACGCUGAGGAGCGAAAGCGUGGGGAGCAAACAGGAUUAGAUACCCCUGGUAGUCCACGCGGUAAACGGUGGUCACUAGGUGUGGGUCUCUUCAAACGAGAUCUGCGCCGUCGCUAACGCAUUAAGUGACCCGCCUGGGGAGUACGGUCGCAAGACUAAAACUCAAAUGAAUUGAC